rnacentral:rRNA from 1 species
UACAGAGGGUGCGAGCGUUGUUCGGAAUUAUUGGGCGUAAAGGGCGCGUAGGCGGUGCGGUAAGUCACCUGUGAAAUCUCCUGGCUCAACUGGGAGCUUGCAGGCGAAACUGCCGUGCUGGAGUUGUGGGAGAGGUGAGUGGAAUUCCCGGUGUAGCGGUGAAAAUGCGUAGAUAUCGGGAGGAACACCUGUGGCGAAAGCGGCUCACUGGACCACAACUGACGCUGAGGCGCGAAAAGCUAGGGGGAGCAAACAGG